rnacentral:rRNA from 1 species
CCUACGGGGGGCUGCAGUGGGGAAUAUUGGACAAUGGGCGAAAGCCUGAUCCAGCCAUGCCGCGUGUGUGAAGAAGGCCUUCGGGUUGUAAAGCACUUUCAGUGGGGAAGAAAGCCUUGGGGCUAAUACCCUCGAGGAAGGACAUCACCCACAGAAGAAGCACCGGCUAACUCCGUGCCAGCAGCCGCGGUAAUACGGAGGGUGCGAGCGUUAAUCGGAAUUACUGGGCGUAAAGCGCGCGUAGGCGGUCUGAUAAGCCGGUUGUGAAAGCCCCGGGCUCAACCUGGGAACGGCAUCCGGAACUGUCAGGCUAGAGUGCAGGAGAGGAAGGUAGAAUUCCCGGUGUAGCAGUGAAAUGCGUAGAGAUCGGGAGGAAUACCAGUGGCGAAGGCGGCCUUCUGGACUGACACUGACGCUGAGGUGCGAAAGCGUGGGUAGCAAACAGGAUUAGAUACCCGAGUAGUC